CCCAUCUGUCCAGACAGUGACGCCACACACUCAGGCACAGAUAAACUGGGUAAUUUAGUGGUUGAAGAAAGAGGGAAACGGAUGCUGCGCCGAAAACCGUCACAGAGAUUAUUAUUUUUGGAUGCUUUGUCCCCUUCCUUCGGCCUUCGUCAUGCCAUCCCAAAUUCGACAAGCGUGGUUUCCGGCGCCUUCAUAGUGUCUGCGAUUGAUUUAAUAUUCCCGUCUGGAGUUUUAGGAGGUGACUCUUGAUUCACCCCCCUCCUCGCCUCGGCGGUGCUGGGGAGCGUCAGCGAGCCCAAGGUCUCCCUGGCGAGCGUCGCAGGGCUCAGGGGUCCCGGCAGGGCAUCUCGGCUCCCCCGGGGCGUCCAUGGCGGUGCCGGAGAUCCCGAGAGUCCAGGGGCAUGGGGGUGAGGGGCGUUGUGGAGCCGGCAAGACGGGCGUUUGGUGUUGUAUACUGAUAUGAGUGAGUCUUUUCUGGGGUGAAGGAGACUCACCCGUACCAGCACACAGCACCAAGAAAAGGCGAUAUAGGAACAAUACCCGGAUAAGAGGAUAACAUAGAAACAACACCAAGAAAAGGAAAAGGAAGAAAAAGAACAUCAGAAAAAGGAUAAUAUAGAAAAAGAACACCAGAAAAAAAAUCAGGUAGAAACACAGCAAGAAAGGAAAAAAGUAAAAAGUAAAAAAUCUAGCAUGAAGGCGGUUGGCGUUGUAUGUUGGUAUGGGUGAGUCUUUUCUGGGGUGAAGGAGACUCACCCGUACCAGCACACAGCACCAAGAGGGCGAUAUAGAAACAACACCAGGAAAAGGAAAAGGAAGAAAAAGAACACCGGAAAAAGGAAGUUAGAGAAAAGGAACACCAGAAAAUGAUAAGAUAUAAACACAACAUCAAGAAAAGGAUAUAGCAUUAAUUAAGGUGUUUGGUGUUAUGUGUUGGUAUGGGUGAGUCUUUUCUGGGGUGAAGGAGACUCACCCGUACCAGCACACAGCACCAAGAGAAGGCGCUAUAGAAACAACACCAGGAAAAGAAAAAGGAAGAAAAAG